ACAUCCAGAGAACUUAGCAGAGAUGCUUUGGUGCCUUCGGGAACUCUGAGACAGGUGCUGCAUGGCUGUCGUCAGCUCGUGUUGUGAAAUGUUGGGUUAAGUCCCGNAACGAGCGCAACCCCUAUCCUUUGUUGCCAGCGGUUCGGCCGGGAACUCAAAGGAGACUGCCAGUGAUAAACUGGAGGAAGGUGGGGAUGACGUCAAGUCAUCAUGGCCCUUACGAGUAGGGCUACACACGUGCUACAAUGGCGCAUACAAAGAGAAGCGAACUUGCGAGAGUAAGCGGACCUCAUAAAGUGCGUCGUAGUCCGGAUUGGAGUCUGCAACUCGACUCCAUGAAGUCGGAAUCGCUAGUAAUCGUAGAUCAGAAUGCUACGGUGAAUACGUUCCCGGGCCUUGUACACACCGCCCGUCACACCAUGGGAGUGGGUUGCAAAAGAAGUAGGUAGCUUAACCUUCGGGAGGGCGCUUACCACUUUGUGAUUCAUGACUGGGGUGAAGUCGUAACAAGGUAGGCGUAGACGU
rnacentral:rRNA from 1 species